UACGGAGGGGACUAGCGUUGUUCGGAAUUACUGGGCGUAAAGCGCACGUAGGCGGAUUUGUAAGUCAGGGGUGAAAUCCCGGGGCUCAACCUCGGAACUGCCUUUGAUACUGCAGAUCUCGAGUCCGGAAGAGGUGAGUGGAAUUCCUAGUGUAGAGGUGAAAUUCGUAGAUAUUAGGAAGAACACCAGUGGCGAAGGCGGCUCACUGGUCCGGUACUGACGCUGAGGUGCGAAAGCGUGGGGAGCAAACAGG
rnacentral:rRNA from 1 species